UACAGAGGUCUCAAGCGUUGUUCGGAUUCAUUGGGCGUAAAGGGUGCGUAGGCGGCGCGGUAAGUCGGGUGUGAAAUCUUGGAGCUUAACUCCGAAACUGCAUUCGAUACUGCCGUGCUUGAGGACUGGAAAGGAGACUGGAAUUUACGGUGUAGCGGUGAAAUGCGUAGAUAUCGUAAGGAAGACCAGUGGCGAAGGCGGGUCUCUGGACAGUUCCGAUGACGCUGGAGGCACGAAAGCCUAGGGGAGCAAACAGG
rnacentral:rRNA from 1 species